CUAUGUCAUUGGUAAGGUGUUCUUUGACCGUAGAACAUUUUGAACGAAGCCACACCCCCUUUUUUACCGCAAACACAACUCUGGAGAAUCGUCUGUAGUUUUCAUAGUUUCACCAAACAGUGCCAAACACAUUUACUAAAACUUACUCUUAGAUAACUACAAUAACUUAUCUAAUUUUUAUUUGUUAAAUUAACUUGAAAAACUAAAGUGUAAGUGCAACGACAUGAGUGGAUUUGCGAAAAAGCAAGAAAGUGCUAAAUUUUUUUCCAAAUGUGUGGAUGACCUGGAUAUCAAAAAUAUUUGUGAAAAGAUAGAUGCUGAAUUUCCCGACCCGGAGCCUGACUAUAUACCAACACCAUUGAAUUUUGGUAUUUCUUUACCGAAUAAUAUUGACAUAUUUCAGUCAGCAGAUUGGUGGGAUUUGCCACCAGGCCUCAUGUGUAGCAAUUGCUACAAUCAGGUUCCAAACACCUAUCCCAUACGGCAACACUCAGAACGUGUAUGUCUUAGUUGUAAACGAGAAACCUUUCCCCUAAAAACUAGGAGGCAUAAGUUUAGGAUGAAAAAAAUGAGAUUCCCUCCAAUAACAAAUUUGGCAGUGAAUCACAUUGCUGUAAUCGGACGCCAAUCCCGCGGGAAAUGUCUUCAAAGUGAUUGCUUCCAUGAGCUUGUGAAGUUUACAAGAUGUUGGCAGUAACAUGGUCUAUAAACUAGAGGUCGAAGAACUGUCGUCUGCUAGGGCUGUUUUGCUCGUCUCGUCUGCUAAACCUUGAGAAAAUUUUGAGGCAUCCGCUAGAGCGCUGACUACCCGUGUUAGUCAUCAUUUUGCCGCGUAAACCAUGGAGAGGGACGGAUGAAUGGUCUCAGAUCGUAGUUUAAUCCUAGGAAAAAUCGGUUUUAAGCUAAAAUAAUUACAAAUUAAUUCAUGUUGUUUAUCUAUUUUUCAAUAUCCCGUGUAAUCAGCUCUAGUUUAUUAGUUUUCAUUCGAUGUACAUAAGUGACACUAUGAACAUGAUAUGCGAAUCCCCAAGUCUUAUGCAGUGCUAUUUUCUCUUAAUCUAAUAUUUUAACAUUCCCUAGCAAUAGGACAAAGAAGAUCCCGAACUGUUGUUAUGUCCCCGGAUGUAAAUCUGGUUUCCCAGAUUACCCAAAAUAUCUUGGUAAAUUUACCAUGUUUUGUGCACCUAAGGAUAGAAAGUUAUUGAAGCGUUGGAAUGAAUUCAUCCCUAGGAAGGGAACUUUGAAACCUUCUUCUAAAGUAUGUUCAUAUCAUUUUGCAAGUGACGAUGUUUUCAAACAAACAACGUCUUCAUAAUAGACUUCUUUAACCAGAUCAUCGCUGCAGUUGCGAAAGAUGGGAUGGGGGGGUUCCCAAAAUUUGUUGUUCUGAACACAACCAACAAACGGUCCCGUUCUUGAUUUUUUAAUACGUAGAAAUAAGGUAUCACAUCGAAGCUAAGCGGUACAAAAAACAUCAUUCAGGAGUUGAAAACAAAGCAUCAAAAGUUACAUACAUUGUCAUUAAUGGUAGUUUAAAUAAAAAGCCGGAGACGGAUAAUGAGAUAAAUGAUAAAGCGUUGAAUUGUUUUUUAUUAUUAUAAUAUAUUAGGUUAUUCUCCCUUAAGUCGUAUUCCGCAUAUCUCGUUUGCUUUAAAUAAAAUAAAAACCCUAAAAGUAAGUAGAUUUUGUACUAAAGGCUAUGCCUUACGCGGUAAAAUCGGCAAAAUGAUGACUAACCCGGGUAGUCAGCGCCCCUAGCGGAUGCCCCAAAAUUUUCUCAAGUUUUAGCAGACGCCAAAUCAAGCAGACGACAGUUCUUCGACCUCCAGUUUAUAGAUCAUGGCAAAAUUUCCCACAUCGAAAUACAAUGACGCAAAAUCUUGUCGGUAUUUCGGUGGACAUGGAUCUGCCUUGGCUUUGCAUUCGACGAUGACUCAUCAUUUGAAUAAAAAUUCAAAAAAAGAAACCUUUGAACCAUUCUCGUACAUUUUACCACGUGUAAAUUUUAACUACCGUCCUGGAAUUGAUAAAAUUACCAUUGUAUUCUACAAAUUUUCCGCUUUAACUGUUAAACCAAGUAAUCUGAUUUCUUUCAUUUUGGAUUUCAUGGAAAUUAAAAUUCCACCUAAGGAUGUAAUUUUUGUGGCAUAUGGCCAUGCUAGUUUCAACUCGUCAACCAUUUUUUCACCAAUUGUUCUCAACGGAACAAAUUGUUGACAACAUUAAUAAAUCGCGAAUCAACAGCAUGGUUGGAAUCAAUGAAAUGGGCACCUGGCCGUAACCGGGGAAACAAUUGGAUACAAAAUGCGAACAAUGAAAUAUCAUUUAUGUAAUAUGACGAAGAAAUCGCCAUGGAAAAUUGAUAAACGCUUUCGGGAAAGAUAUCGAAAAAAUUUCGGCAGAUAUUCUGCUUAAUCUUUAUAGAACAUAAAAACUCAAGCUAAGAUAUAACAAUCUUAAAGUGCACAGUUACCCGCAGUUACCCAAGUGCCAUGAAAAAAAAAGACGCUUCCGUAUGUUACGGAAGACAUCAUUACUACUAAAUACAUUAACUAUAAUUACA